rnacentral:siRNA from 1 species
AGCUGUGGAAUAGCCUCAUAAGCC